GACGAACGCUGGCGGCGUGCUUAACACAUGCAAGUCGAACGGAAACGCCCUGCCUUUGUGGUGUGCUCGAGUGGCGAACGGGUGAGUAACACGUGAGUACCCUUCCCUUGACUGUGGGAUAACUUCCGGAAACCGGGGCUAUUACCCGAUAGGAGCUCCUGCUACAUGGUGGGGGCUGGAAAGUUUCGGCGGUUGGGGAUGGACUCGCGGCUUAGCAGCUUGUUGGUGGGGUAGUGGCCUAACAAGGCGUUGACGAGUAGCCGGACGGAGAGGGGGGUCGCCGGCACGGGAGGUGGAACACGCCCAAGGGGCCUAAGGGAGGGACCAGACGGCAACGUUGGGCAGUGGGCGGAAAUAUGAUACAGUGAGCGCGAGCGUGAGACAGCAACGCUGCGUUCGGGAUGACGGCCUGCGGGGUGUAAACCGCUUUGGCCUGUGACGAAGGGUGAGUGACGGUAAUGGAUAAAGAAGCACCGGCUAACUACGUG
rnacentral:rRNA from 1 species